rnacentral:rRNA from 1 species
UGGGGAAUCUUGCGCAAUGGGCGAAAGCCUGACGCAGCCAUGCCGCGUGAAUGAUGACGGUCUUAGGGUUGUAAAAUUCUUUCACCGGGGACGAUAAUGACGGUACGCGGAGAAGAAGCCCCGGCUAACUUCGUGCCAGCAGCCGCGGUAAUACGAAGGGGGCUAGCGUUGCUCGGAAUUACUGGGCGUAAAGGGCGCGUAGGCGGAUCGUUAAGUCAGAGGUGAAAGCCCAGGGCGCAACACUGGAACUGCCUUUGAUACUGGCGAGCUUGAGUAUGAGAGAUGUAGGUGGAACUCCGAGUGUAGAGGUGAAAUUCGUAGAUAUUCGGAAGAACACCAGUGGCGAAGGCGACAUACUGGCUCAUUACUGACGCUGAGGCGCGAAAGCGUGGGGAGCAAACAGG